rnacentral:rRNA from 1 species
AACGCGAAGAACCUUACCUGGGCUCGAAAUGUUAUGGACCGGAGUGGAAACAUUCCUUCCCCGCAAGGGGCCGUAAUAUAGGUGCUGCAUGGCUGUCGUCAGCUCGUGUCGUGAGAUGUUGGGUUAAGUCCCGCAACGAGCGCAACCCUUAUCUUCAGUUGCUACCAUUUAGUUGAGCACUCUGACGAAACCGCCCCGGAUAACGGGGAGGAAGGUGGGGAUGACGUCAAGUCCUCAUGGCCUUUAUGUCCAGGGCUACACACGUGCUACAAUGGUCGGUACAAACCGUCGCAAAGCUGCAAAGUGGAGCUAAUCGGAAAAAGCCGGCCUCAGUUCGGAUUGGAGUCUGCAACUCGACUCCAUGAAGCUGGAAUCGCUAGUAAUCGCAGAUCAGAACGCUGCGGUGAAUACGUUCCCGGGCCUUGUACACACCGCGCAUA